rnacentral:rRNA from 1 species
GUGGAGCAUGUGGCUUAAUUUGACUCAACGCGGGAAAUCUUACCGGGUCCGGACACACUGAGGAUUGACAGGUAACAUCGAAUUACUGUCUAUUAUAUUCGUAUAAUAGUAUAUGUAUUUCGUAUAAAUAUGCUAGUCCUUUCAUGAUUAUGUGAUAGGUGGUGCAUGGCCGUUCUUAGUUCGUGGAGUGAUCUGUCUGCUUAAUUGCGUUUCACUAUUUGGGUCUAUACACUAUUAUUCUCAUCACGUACAACUGACCCUUUCUCUUCAUUACGACUAGAUUGCGCGUCUUAUUGUCGUAUAGAAUAUAAUAGACCCUGAAAGCAACGAACGUGACCGCAUCCUCUUGUUGCUUUCAUCCCAUACAUUGCUAUUUUUUCACUCUCACGAGUGUGAAUAGCUGUAAAGAAAGCCUCGUAUACAUACUUUCAUCAUAUCACUGUGUUUCAUUUUAUAUGUCACGCAUGUGUAAGUGAUUGUUAUGUAUAAAACUAGAGGGACCGCUGUUAUCUUCUUAAACCAGAGGAAGGUUGCGGCAAUAACAGGUCUGUGAUGCCCUUAGAUGUUCCGGGCUGCACACGUGCUACAAUGAUUAUUGCAGUGAGCAUCUCAUUUACGCUAUACAUCGCAUGUGUCGACUAUUAUCAUUAUCGCGUCUCUCGGGGCGUGUAUUAGUGUGUAAUAUGUCUGACACGCGAUUAAGCCUACUUUGAAAGUAAGCGGGUAAUCAAUUAGAAGUAGUGAUUUCCUUUUUUUUCUGCACAAUUAUAUAUGGCAUGUAUACCCGGCGUACCUUUGUUGUACGUUUUUGUGUGUAUACAUGAAUGCUCAUAAUUUUUCACAAUUAUGUGUCAUAUUUCCAUAUGUGCAAUUGUCAAUUCAUGGUGGGGACAGACCAUUGUUUCAAUUGUUGGUCUCGGUCUUAACUAGGAAUGCCUUGUACGGGUCUUUGGUUCAACAAACCACCCGGAAUACGUCCCUGCCCUUUGUACACACCGCCCGUCGCUCUUACCGAUGGACUUCUCUGUGAGUUUGAGGGACUGUCUGCUUACACUCGUGUCUUUCGAGGCUCAGUGUUAUCGCGCUAGGAAACUUAAACGAACAGUGUGGUCUAAAG